UUCUCCCAUUCCAUAGGUUGCCUCAUAGUUUUGUUGACUGUUUUCUUUGUUGUGCAGAAGCUUUUUAUUUUGAUAUAGUCCCACUAAUUUAUUUUUGCUUUUGUUUCCCUUGCCUCAGAAGGCAUAUCAAGUAAGAAGUUUUGAUGGCCAAUGUCAAAAAGGUUACCGUCUGUGUUAUUUUCUAGGAUUUUUAUGGUUUCAGGUCACUUAGUACCCUCUUAAUAGUAACUGCUUUAUCUUUUCCCAUUUGAAAAUUGUUCUUUUUGGUGAAUAGGUGAAUGUAAAACAGCACUAACCUAAGUUGGUAAGUGACCUCAUUCACUAGAGUAUAUUUCAAAAGAUUUUUGGCUACUUCAGUCUCCUCACAAUUUCUCUAAACUCUGCCCACCCACCACCGAACAGAAGAAACAGUUAAAUGAUAAAGGUUCACUACUAUCGAGGAUAUUCUAAAGAACUUGCUGAAGGCUCUGAAGGAAAUGACAAAAGAGUCCUUCAUGUUUUAAACAAUAGCAGCAUCCUUAGGAUAAAUGUAUACUUUCCAAACUGCCUACCUAGAACCCUUUCUAGGUUGAAAGGUUUUGUUAUGUUUGUUUAAAAACCAGUGGUGGUGCUUUCCAUUGAUCUCCCAGAGCAUCCUGAGCUACAGUCGCUGACUCUGCUCUUUUACUUGGUCUGGAAAACAGCACUUGACUGCUAGGAGCAGGUUUAGUUUCCACACUGCUUUUGACUGAAUCAGUUCUGACCUCAGUCAUUUGAUCUGAAGGUGUCACUGAACAGAUUGGGCCUUAAUUGGCUUCUUUGGGAACCAGUCCCUUCCCAGACUGCAUGAUUCUAGGUAUCUUUGACAAUCUCAUUUGGUUUCAGAAGAUUUUGGUCUAGAAAACAGAUUUGAAAUGUAAAUACGAAAUCCUAAAUUUUAGAAAUGCAUGGAAAACUAUGUCAUAAAGAUAUAAAUAAAGUAGUUUGCCCCAUCUAGUUGGGAAUCUUAUCAGAAGUCCUGAUGCUAAGUCUUUCUAGGGCCCUGGAGGCAUGAUAUACUUGGUUCAAAAAUUUGCAGUGUACUUUUUCCCCUUGCCACAGUAGAAAGUAUUUAUUUAGAGUCCUUUUAGGAUGUUGUCCUCAUGCAAGAAGGAGUAAGUGAGGGGGCAUUUUUAUAGCAACCCUGAAAUGGGGUUCAGAGAAGGCAUGGUUGCAGAUCAUCAGAAGAGAGAGUGUAGCUCUGGGAGUCCUGGAUAUUAAGAACGAUACAUGAUUUUCUUUUGCAAGAUUUUCUUAUAUAACAAGCAGGCAGCUGUGCACCACAACUUUGUUUCUGGAAAAGAAAAAGUGUGUGUAUCAGUUGAUAUUUUAGAUACUUAACUACAUUUUAAAUCAUUUCUAUGAAAAGAUAAUUUAUGAUUAAACUGUUUAAUAGAACCAAAUACUUUUUUUCCAAUUUUUUUCAUCUCUCUAUAAAAUUUGUGCACAAGACAUAUAAUAUCUUAGUUUAUAGGAAUAAAAGCCCCAAGUUAUAGUCAUUUUUUUCAGACAAAUCACUUUUUUUUCAAACUAUUUUAUGAUUUUCAUAAUUAUUUUUCUUUAAGUUUCUGAUGCUCCUUUGCCUGUGACUUUAGGAGCAGUAUUGUGUACCCUCUUACAAUUAAUGAGGGACAUCCUCAUAGGCAGUUGUGGGUGACUGAGGGGAAAUAGAGAAUCUUUAAGUGGUGAACCUGCAGAGCCUCAAAACCUUCUUUCACCACGACUGAGGUUGGAUUUUCUGACCACGUGGAUUUCAGAAUAUCUGGUUCUGCUAAGGCUGAUCUAGCAGUGUGGAGUACUGAUAAAUCAGCUUGAGCUUAUCAAAGAGCUGCAUAGUGUCCUACAGAUAACUGGGAAUUGAUAAGAGCUUGAUGCUGCUGAUGGCUAAAUAAGCUUAUUAAUGUAAAUUUAGAAACCGGGACACAAUGCAUAUCAGUGACAAUGCUUUGGGCUCACAAACUGUAAGUCUCUUAAAUAAGGAGGGAUUUAUUAUCUCACAUAAUAAAAUGCUUAGAGGUAGGGCACUUUCAGGGUUGGUCAAUUCAGUGUUUCAACAAUGGUAUCAUGACACUAGUUCCUCUUUUGCUAUUCUCAACAUGUUGACCUUUUCCUAGAUUUAUUCCCUCAUGGUUGCAAGAUGAGUGCUAAUGCUCCAUGCAUCCUAUCGUCAUCUAUUUUCUUUGAAAUGAAGAAAAGGACAAUUUGUGUCUUAUGAAGGAAGAAAACUUUUCCUAGAGGGUCCUUAGCAGACUUUUCCUCAUGAAUCAUUGGCCAGAAUUAUGUUGCAUCCUCAUUCUUAAACCAAUUCCUGAUUUAGGCAGUAGAAUUAUUAUGAUUGGAGUAGAUUAAGACUCACCCCUAGAUAUUAAAAGGGGCAUCUUCAUUGACUAUAUGGUCACACAGAGGGUGAUCAAUAACAGGGUUUAAUUAACAAAGGAGAACUGGGGCAAAUUGUUGUGGCGUGGGCAACCAAUGUUAUCUGUUACAAGUGCUUUCUCUUUGAACAGUAUACCUCCUAUCUCACUUAAUAAAAUGAUUCUAGGACACCAGAAGUGAAAGGGUAAUGCAUUUUCUGCCAUGCCAUCAUUGGAAAUAAUUUAGAAGAACUCUGCAAGGAAAAUAGAAGUCAUAUUUUUUGCUUCUCUGUAGCAGCAAAAAGAAAACCUUAAGAUUUUCAUCAAGAUGGAAAAUAAAAAUGAGGGAACACUUAAGACACUAUUCUUUGACUACUCAGCUGCCGUUUUCACCUUCUUUGCUUUUUCCUCCUUGCUGAUGAAACUUGACUUCUUCUGGAAGCGUUGUACUGACUGACUGCUGGGGCUGAAUCAUGAUUAUCCAGGCUGAUCACAGUACUCUCAUAACCAAAGGCACACAUUUCCAGCUUGCCUCGGUGGCAGUAGUAGCCAUAUGAGAUAGUUCUGGUCAACAAUUAGAAAUCCAGUAGAGGUGAGGCUUCUAGGAAAGCUUUUGUGUCCUUGAUAAGAAGGACAAGUGUUAGAAGAGGACUAACUGGGCCCUCCCCAUCCCUCUUCUUCCUGCCAUAAAUGUAAAUGGGAUGUCAGGUGCUAUAGCAACUCUCUUGACAAGAUGGGAUAGCAGUCAUGGGGAAAAAACAUCAUGUUAGCAAACGGUAGAACACAAAUAUAUAUAAAAAAAGAAAAAAUUCCGACUCACAAGACCAAACCUGGAACUACCUACUUUCAAGUUUCUGGUUAUGUGAGGUAACUUAACGGCCUUGUUGCUUAAAUUACUAGAGUUGAGUAUUCCGUUUCUUGCAACUUAAUGCAUACUAACUGGCACAAAAGAAGUGAAGAGUAUCUUAUGUCGUUUCUACAGCUAUCCUCUCACCUCUCUGCCCCCAGCUCCCUUCCAUGUUAGUUUUACUUUGACUCUGGCUUCCGACAGCCUGAAUAGCUUGCCCACAGCUAUAUAGCCCUUCAACUCCCUCUCACUCAGGUCACUUCGUUCUCAUAUACCUUUAACACUUUAGGAUCUACUCUAUUCUCUACUUCCUUUCUAUAUCCCUUCAUGUUUUCUUUCCCAGUAAGAUUUGAAACUCCUUCAGAAGAGACUCUGGGCCUCUUACUCUUUUGGUGUUAAUUCCUGUACUCAGGGUAGAGGAGGGGAUUCUCAGUGACAGGGAAAUGAAUGAAUACUGUGACUUUGCUUCUUUAUCUCAGCCAGUAGUGAGGGAAGUAAGCAAACAACGUAAGAAGAUACAAACUUACCACCUUUUUGGUCUCUAAAUUGGAAAGCAGAAACCCUGGAAUAUCCUGUGGAGAUUAUUUCAGGUUACAUCUCUAAUCCUAGGAAGUGGAUGCUAUUUGAAUUUUGGUUACAUAUCAAUAUUUCUAUUCUUUAUGAACAAUGUAGAUGCAGGGUUCAGUCUGUAACCAUCCUGUAAUGGUUAGCUUGUAACAAAGCAUUUUAGGGAAGAACCCGCAAGUAUUUGAGUUCUAGUUGGCAAAUGUGGAAUAAGGGAACUUCUUAGCUUAAGGAAGAUCUUCAAUGGACAUUGUUCCUUUGGGGGCGUUUGGAUUGCUACAACGAAAAAAUUCCCUUGCAUGAGUUUGUCAGUUUCAGGGGAUUUUGGUCAUGAUUCAGUGAAGUGGAACUUUUCAGUUCAAAUGGGAAUCUCAUGGCCUUUGUGUAUCCUUGCUUAUAGCCAGGGUGGCACCUUGUGAGUAUAGAUGCCCCUCACCAGCUUUGCACAUGUCCCUGCUUAUGGCACAUGGCUCUCACUGGGUCACCUUUUCGUCCAAAGCCUCCGUUGCUAUUUAUUUCGCUACAAGCACAAGUGCUUUCUGUGGCCAUGAGAUGUAACUCCAAUACAGUGCUUUAUACUGACGACUGUGGGUUUUCCUUAAGGUAACUGUGGGUGGCCCUUCCAUUUAUUUUCUUGCUUCCUUUUUGUUUCUGUAAAUUCUGCCCUCCGCUUUCCCCUGAAGCACAUGCUGUUCAUGUAAUCUGAAUGGCCAUUUAGAGGAAAGAUCAGAAGUUUGUUGUUUCAUUACCAACAUAAAUCAAAACUUUGUGUUCGCACUGCAAUCCGAGUGAGUCCAGGAAUAGCUUUGGGAUUGCUAAGUGUCUGGAGAGCACUGACUACACAGACAUGUUUUGAAGCUGGCUAUAAUAGUUUCUACAGCUGUUAACAGUUCAUAGAAGAAUGGCAGCAUUAUAUAUCAGUGUUUAAAAUGUGCAUAACUUGCAUUGCACAGAAGUCAGAUUGGGAUAGAAUCAGAUUUUUUUCUGAAUCUUGGCCAGGAAAGUCUUUAAUAACUAGAGAAAUUCUUUUCACUGCUGAAAUCAACAUGAAGGACAUUGUGUUAUUAUAAUUGCUUAUAGCUCCCCAUGAAAGUUGUCUUUGUAUGAGUGGAUGUACGGGCUGUACUGUUUUGUUUUUAUUUAUUCUGCAUUCUUUAUUCUAAUGUCCUUUCCUUUUUCCUGACCAGAAAGAUUGUUAUUGAGCCCUUCACAAAGCUGAAAUAAUGCAGUGUGUUAAAAAAAAUGCUAACAAUUCAAAGAAGUUAUAAAAAUUUAUAAGUUGGCUAAAUGCUUGAGAAAUUUCUGCAUAUUUUAAUAUAAAUAGGUAAUGCAAAUAUUUGUUCUUUGCAUUGAGAGGUGAGUCUCUGUUUUCUGAAAGGCCCCGCUAUUUAAAUUAGAUUUACUUUAUUGUAUUGAAAUAAGGAUAGUUUCCAUUUUGAAUGAUGGUAAAGAUUAAAUAUCAUGGUUGUUAUCAAAUGCAAAAAAAAAUCCUUGAUAAGCUAGGUUUAUUACUGCAUCAUGGGGUUAAAAAAUUUCCAGAAAUUGGUAGGAAUUGCUUUAUGAUUAGAAUUCCCAUGAUGGAAACUUGCUCAAGAAUUUUCUUGAGAUUCCCAAGUUGAGUCUGAGGUUUUGCAUAUGACAAGAACUAUUUGGACCACCUCUGUACCCUGUCAGUUUCACUAUUUCUUUAAAGACUUAAGUGACAGACUUAAUUCAAGGUAGGAGUGGGAGACAUAUCUUGGCAGAAUAUGUAUAAAUAAAGGAAAAGAAAUUGAGUAAAAAUUAGAAAUCAAAUUGUGAGAGAGCUCCCUCUAGAAUGUCAAGAUACACACAUUUGGAAUGACUAUGGGUCAGAGAUCCUUGCAGAAGGAUUUGGAUCUAAGGUCUAAGGCCUUCGAUAUUUCUGAGGUAGUAUGCCAAGGCUCAUCCAGUGGGAAGCCAGAGCCACCCUGGUGGCACCACACAGGAGAAAACCCACCUGGCAGAGUCAGUUUCCAGAGGUAAAGUUGAGAUGCCUCAGGGAUCAGGUUCCAGGAUGCUGGACACUGUGGGCUGCUCCUUCACGAGCCAUGCAGGCUGUUGUGUCAACUUGAAGAUCUGGGAAAAGCUCAGCACAAACCUUGAGGUUCCCUUUGAGAGUGCUGAUGAAUUCUCAUACCUCACCUUUGUCAGCUCCUCAUUUACCACCGAAUGCUUGGGCAGAUAUCCAUUGCGAUGAGAGAGGGAGACAAGAAAAUAUGAAGGAAGGCUUCCAGGGUGAAGGCAGUGUCUCCCACAAACUUUACACACCAACCUCAGUUUUACCCGGGAUUUGGCCAUCCCCUCACAUCUUUACACUUGUGGCAUGCAUCACCUGGGAAGCCAGCCUGCACCUUCCCUUUGGCCUCUUAGGCUUGUGGAAACUAAGGACACAUCUGGAGGAGUUUACCUUUCCUUGGGAAAAGGAAUUAAAUUGAUAAUGUUUUCCAGGGAGAACUGCCAUGAAAUUUUAUGAACUUCAUAAAAAUGCAUGAAAACAUUCCCAAACUAAGAGGCCCUGCGUGACUGAGAAAUAAGGUUAACGGCUAACAUUUUGUGUUGGGUGCUUAUGAUGUGCCAGCACUGUAUCGUCUUGUUUAAAAACAGAGAUGCCAGUGGGUAGGAAAUAUAAAUGUAGUUUGAUGGAAGGUGGAGCCAUAGGCCAAAGGUGAACUAGAAAAUAAAUAGGAAAAGUAGACUUAAGUCUGGGUUUCUCCAGACACUGAGAAUCCUUGGUAAAUACUUCCUCCUUACUUAAGCCUGGUUUGGUUACAAAAUAAGAAUGAAAACAGUCUGGAAUAUACAAUUCAGAUUUCUCAGUUAGCAAAUGGCUCUAGGGCAGUGAUUUUGUUUUGUUUUGUCUUUUUUUGUCUUUUCAGCAUCAGUACUUACUGAGAAGUAAGUACUAUGGGCUAUCUCUCAAGGAAGAUACACACACAUAUAUGCAUGCAAACGGUUACACACAACUUCUGGGGUUACCAGCUCCUGGAGUCAGUGUUAGGUUGGUAGAAUGUGGCAUCUGAAAAGUCUGGUAAUAGGCAACACUUCUAGGUCCAGGCAGAGAGGAUGGCUGGCAGGAAGUUCAGAGAUAACCUAGUGGAUUUUCCCAACCGUAGGAAGGGAGCAAACAACAAAUUAUAUUUCAUUGAGGUUGGAGCUGGUGCUGGGUAUGUCUACUUAUAGGUGUCAAAGCCUAAGCAUGGGGACUGAGAUUUAAAGGUAUAAUGACGAUAUGGAGACUCUUGGACUACUGAGAAAGGAGCCAAGAGAAGGCAUCUGGACUCAUAUAAGAAGAGAGUAACUAGGCCUGGGUUAGAAGGUGCAGGCCAGGUCACAAAGAAGCCCAAUAACCAAAACUAGGGUUAGAGCUGAUUUGAAUGGGCUCAGGAUUACUCAGCAAGAUUUUCCCAUCCAUCAGGUAGGGCAGUGUGAAUCUGUCUCUGGGAAUCUGGUGGGAAAGAGAGAGCUAGGCAAAGACUGCCUAGUAGGUACAACUCUGGUUCAAUCUCUCAUCAACGCGUUAGUAACUUGGCUAAGGGUAUGGUGAAUUAUCAUUUUCAAAUCCUCGUAGCUCAUUAACUCUGAAACUAGAGAAUAUUCUUUACUUUUGCACUUCUCUCAUCUUGUGGAUUUUGUCCACUUAUAUACAGUUACCUUUAAACCUGCCACUCCUGUACCAUCAGUCAGUUCAUUUCCAGUCUCACUGGGAGACCCCACUGAUCUUCAUCCUGUGGCCUAAAUAAAAUAAAAAGUUUAUUUAUUUUUUUGCAAAAUAAAAUAAAUAAAAUAAAAAGUUGUCAGCAUUUGUUAGUCCAUCAAACAUUUUUGGAAUUUUAUUGGUCUGUAAAAUCUAAAUAUUGGGAAACUAUUGUAUUAUAGUGUCCUAGAUUGGGUAGAGUAGGUAGUCAAGAAAUAUUUAUAGUUAUAUUGAAUGAAUGAUUAAAUGAAACAUGAAUUGUAUCACAUAAAAGUAAGGGCUUAAAUAUUCACUGCUUGCUUACCUUUCUUUGAUAUCUCUUGAAAGCUUAUUGCAGAGGCAGGCUGAGUUCCACAUAUGCAUGGCAAAUUGGGCCAUCUUGACUAUUCAACAGAGUAGACAGUCUGUCUACUUAAGUGCUGGCAGUCUCUUUUAUGGCAUUUAGUCUAUAAAAUAGUGCUGUUGUCUUUGGUAAAGUAGUGAUUGUUUUCAGCUAUUAGUUGCUGGAAUUUUGAAGGAGAACAUGCAUAAAGAAAGAGACAAUUUAGCUGAUGGGGUAAAGAGGGACAGGAGAGACUCCCAGUUCUGACUCAAUCUGGUGAGUGCUGUGUCAUAGAGUGAAUCUGUGGCCUAAAUCAUGGAUAUUUAGUAGCAAUUAAUGACACCGCUGUAGGAGCUUAAGUAAAUUCUAGCUGAAAUUUAAGAUGUGAAAUUCGAAAAGUCCUAAGUACAAUGAAGAUUAGAGGAAACAAGUAAUGAGAUAUGAGAGUAAUAAUUCUGGCACAAAGGUCAGGCCAAGUAGUGCAAGAGAGCUUUUGUGCUUCAAUUGAUGAGAGUUGUCUUCUUCAAAUUAGUUUAAAAUUAUAAAGGGGAGGCUUUUCUUGCUUUUGAUGGCUGUAUUUAGCAAGAGAUUAGUUGCUCAAAUUUACCCUUUGGUCCAAUAAAAAGAAACACAAUGUAACUUGAAGUCUAAAUCAAUGUAAUUUAAAAUAUAAUUAUGUGUGUAUGGGAAUGUCCAUGGUAAAUUAGAUGAAUGUGGUUUUGAAGAAGGAAUAGGAAUCUAAGGAUUGAAGAGAUUCUUGUCAAAUAGAAAUCAAUAAGUAAACAAAUUUUCUCAUUAAAAAAAUGGAGCUCCACAUUUCUGAGAUAAAUGAUAAUGUAAAAGUGACUGAAAAGAAUAUAGCACGGCUUGUAGAGAUUCAUAAUGCUUUUAAGUGGCUGGGUUUGUGUGUGUGUGUGUGUGUGUGUGUGUGUGUGUGUGUGUGUCACAAAGCACAGGGUAGUAAGAAAAGAAGAAACAAUGAGAGACAGAGGAAGGAGAUCCGUUGGCUAGGGGUGAUCCUCCUAAUUUUUCUCUGCUUCUUCAUUAGCACUCUGACUUCUCACCGCCUUUCGAUGCCAACACUUUCUGCCUAGAUGUCAACCCAAAGUCUCUGGAGUCAUCUGUGUGACCUUCAAAGACCCAUCAACCUGAGAACAGAGCAGUAGGAUGCAGGUUUUAAACUUCUUCAGAGUAAGAGGAAGAAAAGAAGAUGAAGCAGCUGAGUCCAAUGUAGUGAGCAUCCUGAGCCAGUGCAAUACUAGGUUGUCUUCAAAUAUUAAUUAUGUAUAUUUGAAACUUAAAACCAUCAUAGAAUUUUCACUUAAAAUAGUGGAUAACAAACAUAGGUAAGAAUGGUAAGAAUGAAGAUCAUGGGGGAAUAUUACUGACAAGGGUCAAGGGAAAUGGUCUUAUUGGUCUCAACAUUUAUUUUGAUUUUGAGUCCAUCUAUUUUUCAGAAUUCCAUUAGAAGGCAUUCCAUUAUUGCUACAAAGUGUCACCAAGUGACUCUCAUACUGAUACUGGUAACAAUCUGGAAAGCCUUCAGAGGAUUUGCUAUGCUAAAAAAAAAAAAAGGCUUGAGAAAGGUAUUGUUAAUUCAGUAUCUCUAGGUUUCAGGGUGAUUUAAAAAAAAAACUCAUAGGAUCAGGGCCACCUCUAUGUUGUACGGAGCUCUAGAAAUAUAUUUUUUUUUGCAGGGCCCUGUUUAUAGAAACACUUUGAUUAAAAAACAUAAAGUCAAUGGACCCUUGUGAGGUAUAAUCAUUUAUCAGUGAAGAUUUAGAAUAAUGGAUGGACAAGUGUUACUUCUGUGUUUGUUAUGUGUCCAGUCAGCACCUGUGAAGGUCCUCAUGCUCUCUGGGCACUAGCUCUUCCUGUUUAGGUCCAGGGACCUUCUCUCUCUUCUCCUUUUUGUCAGAUGCACCAUUCCUGGCUAACUUCAUAUCUCCCACUGUGGGAAAAAGGUAAGAAAUACAUUAUUAGUCCUCACACUCUUUGGAGCCUGUUGAUAUUAAAGCAGUAUGGACUGAUUUUACCUCUUCAGCUCUCCCACAGUCCUCUGUUCAGUGCUGGUCAGGUCGGUACUCAUGACACCUCAUCCUCUUUGCGCUGCCCGUGAAUAUGGGCCUCCAGUGACUCAUAAGCAUCAUUAACCAAGCUUCUUUGCCGAUGACCGCAAGGAGCCCUUUCUAUGCAUCGUGUUGUCCGAGCUUCACACAACAGGGCUCUGUGGUAUCCAGGAGCCUGCACUGUAUGGACAGUCUCAGUGGACAACCUUACCGUCACUUUGGAGGGCAGUUGGUCAGUGAGGUGGCUCUGUCCCAGCCGAGUCACUCUAAGUUCACUGUGUCCCUCUACAAAAGUCUACAGCUUUCAUCAAUCACCUUUUCCUUAUAGCAGCCCUCUAGUUCCAAUCCAGUGCCCACCCUUCUCCACCCAGAUGUGUGCCCUGGAAGGCUGACCUGUGGACUGAUCACUGGGCUUCCAGUUGAAAUUGGCCAGUUGGACGCACCAGCAGAUCUGGCAAUCAAAUAAGAGUGAAAUUGGGGUAUUUAUUCUGCUCCCUUCCUGUGAGGACAAUGUGGACUGUCUGGAUCCUAAUACUGCUUCCAGGAUCUAUGUAGAAAGAAGUACAUUGCUGUGUGUUUGUAGCUCCGCCCAUCAUUUGAGGGUGAUAAAACCAAGAACUAGUGAUUUUAAGGAACUUGCCAAAUAUUGGAAUCAGUAAGAGGUAAACCUGGGGUCUGAACUCAGAAAGCAUAGUUCCAGAACCUACUUUCCUAACUGCUACAAGGAAGGAAUUGCCAACAUUAAAAAAAAAAAAAAAAAAAAAAAAGUCAAGCGAUUUCACGGAAUCAUGGGAUUCAUGCCCUCUCUUGAACAGUUGUAACAUAUGAAAUGAAAAGGAAGACUGGACCAAGUAUUAAGUCACAAUUUUCGCUUCAGAGUCGCUGCCAGUGGCUACCAAUCCAAGGCCAGGGCUUCAAAAGAAAUGAGUCCUUGCCUCCUGGGCUCCCAUCUCUUACACCUCCAGCUGAGACGUUUCUGACCGGAGCAUGGUCCUGGCAAAGUGUUCUUCAUGCCAGCCAGACCUGUCCACAGCCACUAGAGCCUGGCCUACACUCCUGCUGAACCUGGCUUUCCUCCUGCUGCAGCUCACAUACCGCCUUAUCAUGGACUCCUCCUCCCCAACCCUAUCUCCUCUCCCUAGAGACACUCUCAUGUUCCACUUCCUCCACUCAGCCUUCCUUUAAUUCUCCUAACUGAAGAACCUCUUCUUUUUACUUUCUGAAAUGACCAUUUAAGUCACAUGUAGAUGGUGAUGAUAACUAUAGGAGCAAUACAGCUAAGCUAACACCUGAGAAUGGUCUAUUCUGCUCCCCAGCACUGUAUACACUCUUGACCCACAUUAUCUCAUUUAACUCUCAUGGAGCUCCUAUGAAAUAUGAACUUUUAUUUGUAUUGCUGAGUAAGCCGCCUUAGUAAGGUUACAUAAAUUGUUCAAAAUCUCAUAGCUCAUUUUAUGUCUUAUGUAAAUUAUUUGUAUUCUCUUUUAUUUAUCCUCCAAAUGGAUAAUUGAAAUCAGGGAGCAUUCUUUGUUCAGCUGUGACCCCUAUUCUAAGCCUAUGGAGUAUCUUGUGCAUGGUGGGCAGUAAAUCACCAAUUUGCUGAAGAGUCUCAGAAUUCACAACUUUUGCCACCAAAUUGGUCAUGUUUUUUGGUGCUGAAUUUUAUUUUAUUUAAAAUUUUUUUUUGUUAUCUAUCAAGCAUACACCUGUGUUCUAUGUAAUGUAAGUCGAGAUGGGGAGCAAAAAAGUGUUUCUAAGAAGUUUGGAAUAAAUUGAUUCCUGUUUUCCUUCUGUUAUA